rnacentral:rRNA from 1 species
CCCUUAGAUGUCCUGGGCCGCACGCGCGCUACACUGAGUGUCUGAGAUACGAGUCUGCCUGGUCCGGCAAGGUCUAGGUAAUCGCUAAAAGACACAUCAUGCUUGGGAUAGAUUAUUGCAAAUAUUAAUCUUGAACGAGGAAUUCCUAGUAAGCGCAAGUCAACAGCUUGCGUUGAUUACGUCCCUGCCCUUUGUACUCACCGCCCGUCGCUACUACUGAUUGGAUGUUUAAGCGAGGUUCUCGAACUGCUAGCGACUUAGCUUCGGUGAGGUCGCAGUGUGGGAAGUGAACCUAGCUUUGGUGUCUAGAGGAAGUAAAAGUCGUAACA